UACAGAGGGGGCAAGCGUUGUUCGGAAUUACUGGGCGUAAAGCGUGCGCAGGCGGUUCGUUGUGUCGGCGGUGAAAGCCCCGGGCUCAACCUGGGAAUGGCCGUUGAAACUGGCGAACUGGAGUGUGGCAGAGGGGGGUGGAAUUCCGCGCGUAGCAGUGAAAUGCGUAGAGAUGCGGAGGAACACCGAUGGCGAAGGCAGCCCCCUGGGCUGACACUGACGCUCAGGCACGAAAGCGUGGGGAGCAAACAGG
rnacentral:rRNA from 1 species